rnacentral:rRNA from 1 species
AGAGCGAACGCUGGCGGCGUGCUUAACACAUGCAAGUCGAACGCGCAGCAUUCUGUAGCAAUACAGGGUGUGGGCGCGUGGCGAACGGGUGCGUAACACGUGGAUAACCUUCCUUCGGGUGGGGAAUAACCCAGUGAAAAUUGGGCUAAUACCGCAUAACAUCGCGAUGGCACAUGCCGUUGCGUUCAAAGGCGCAAGUCGCCAGAAGAGGGAUCCGCGGCCGAUUAGCUUGUUGGCGGGGUAACGGCCCACCAAGGCUUUGAUCGGUAGCCGGACUGAGAGGUUGGCCGGCCACACUGGAACUGAGACACGGUCCAGACUCCUACGGGAGGCAGCAGCGGGGAAUCUUGCACAAUGGACGAAAGUCUGAUGCAGCAACGCCGCGUGGGGAUGAAGCUUCUCGGAGUGUAAACCCCUUUCGACCCGGACGAAUGCCCGCAAGGGUUUGACGGUACGGGUAUAAGGAAGCCCCGGCUAACUACGUGCCAGCAGCCGC